ACGGGUGAGUAAUAUAUCGGAACGUGCCCAGUAGUGGGGGAUAGCCCGGCGAAAGCCGGAUUAAUACCGCAUACGACCUACGGGUGAAAGCGGGGGAUCGCAAGACCUCGCGCUAUUGGAGCGGCCGAUAUCAGAUUAGCUUGUUGGUGGGGUAAAAGCCUACCAAGGCGACGAUCUGUAGCUGGUCUGAGAGGACGACCAGCCACACUGGGACUGAGACACGGCCCAGACUCCUACGGGAGGCAGCAGUGGGGAAUUUUGGACAAUGGGCGCAAGCCUGAUCCAGCCAUGCCGCGUGCGGGAAGAAGGCCUUCGGGUUGUAAACCGCUUUUGUCAGGGAAGAAACGGCUCUUACUAAUAUUGGGAGCUAAUGACGGUACCUGAAGAAUAAGCACCGGCUAACUACGUGCCAGCAGCCGCGGUAAUACGUAGGGUGCAAGCGUUAAUCGGAAUUACUGGGCGUAAAGCGUGCGCAGGCGGCUUUGCAAGACAGAUGUGAAAUCCCCGGGCUCAACCUGGGAACUGCAUUUGUGACUGCAUGGCUAGAGUACGGUAGAGGGGGAUGGAAUUCCGCGUGUAGCAGUG
rnacentral:rRNA from 1 species